CGGGGGGGCAAGCGUUGUUCGGAAUUACUGGGCGUAAAGGGCGCGUAGGCGGCUUUUCAAGUCGGGCGUGAAAUCUCCGGGCUUAACCCGGAAGGGUCGUUCGAUACUGUUGAGCUAGAGUGUGGAAGAGGCAACUAGAAUUCCGUGUGUAAGCGGUGAAAUGCGUAGAUAUACGGAGGAAUACCUGAGGCGAAGGCGGGUUGCUGGGCCAACACUGACGCUGAGGCGCGAAAGCCAGGGGAGCAAACGGGAUUAGAUACCCCGGUAGUCCUGGCCUUAAACGAUGCUGACUUGGUGUCCCGGGUAUUCAGUCCCGGGGUGCCGGAGCUAACGCGUUAAGUCAGCCGCCUGGGGAGUACGGUCGCAAGGCUG
rnacentral:rRNA from 1 species